rnacentral:lncRNA from 1 species
CUACAAUCUAUCGAAUUCCUAAAGUUAACAAUAGUUAAUUUUCAAGAUCCACCAACUUAAAAUCGUAAACAAACCUCAAAUUGGACGUAAUAGAACUUGUCUUUUUUAAAAAAAAAUUGCUGGAACGUGAGGGGGUAUAUGUAGUUGUUUCUUGUUUUUUUUUUUUUUUUUUUUUUUUUUUUUUUUUUUUUUUUUUUUUUUUAUAAUUACUGGAACGUUAGGGGGUAUAUGUAGUUGUUGUUGCUGGACGUUGAGGGAGUAUAUUAUGGUUGCUACGGAUUUUUUAUUUUUUACAUGAGGGAAUAAAGGUUGCUUUGUGUGGCUGGAACGUUGGGAGUACAUCUAGUUGUUGUUACUUGUUAGUUGCAGUUGUAUUGGUCGGAGUUGCUAAUGUGUAGGAGAGUUAGGUCCGGGCAGUAUAUAUAGGGGGUUGUGUCAGUUAGGAGAGGGAGUAGUAGUUUAGGU